UCUUUUUAUUCAAUUGACAGUGUGAACGAUUAGGUGUUUUUAAUCAUAAAAAUUGUUCAAAUAUUUUUUAGAUCUGGCAUCUCUAAUAGUAGAUUGGCCAUCACCGAAGUCUUUGAAGAUUAACAUGUAAUAGAUAAAGUCAGUGUUAAUUUGGAAUCUUUGUGUACAUCGAAACUCAAUUACAUGAUGGCCAGAUAUUGGAAUCAUUGCAAGGUACCGUAAAGAAGAAAAAGGAGAUGAUUUGAUUAAACGCUUUCUAUUGAAUUAUGACAGAAGCAAAGUUAGGUUUCUAUUUCUCUUAAACGAUUUCUGUUUGGUAGGUUCUUUUUUUUCUUCUAGUUUCUAUUUUGAAUAUUCAUUGGUUGUUCUGUCACUUCUAUAACUCACAAAAGGAAAAAGACAACUUUGAUUAUUUAUAGUUGAUAAUGUUUUUGUCUUUUUACUUGUGUUCCAGAGAUGAUCCUAACGAAGCAUUAUUCUCUAUUCAUAAUUUUACUAAGAGCACAAGCAGCGGGUGAUAGUUCAGUGAAGGAAAACAAAGACUGAAACAAACGAAUGAAAAGCAUAAACAACUUGUCUUGCAUAUCAGGUGAUGAAGGUGUCAUUGAUAAGAAUUGGUCAUGUUGGAGAAGAAAGAUCAGUAACCGUUGGAUCACAAAUAUCAAAUAGAAUUGCCAACCUUGCGAACAAACCAAGGAUGCACUCAAGUGUUUCUCCUCCAAAGUUCUGUUUCCAGGAAUGAAGCAUCUUCACACGUACUCUCCACCCGGUUUUGUAAGGCUUGACAUCCUUAAGCAGGUAACUAAUUAUGGAGGAUCUCGAUUGCUUUUAAGGAGAUACGGAUGUUAUUGAUUUCGAAUUUGGUUAAAGCUGUGUAUAUUGUUAAAUUACGAAAAGGACAUUAAUAAAGUCAGCAAAGAAAACGUUUUGUCCUGCUAACCUUGUGUCCAAACAACAAUCAAUUUUUUUUUAAGUUUGCUAUCCUUGUAUCCAAACAGUAUCAAAAGGUACUUCAGUUUUAAUAA